rnacentral:rRNA from 1 species
GACGAACGCUGGCGGCGUGCUUAACACAUGCCAGUCGAACGAUGACGACCGAGCUUGCUCGGUCUGAUUAGUGGCGAACGGGUGAGUAACACGUGAGCAACCUGCCCUUCACUCUGGGAUAACCUCGGGAAAUCGGGGCUAAUACCGGAUAUGAGCUCCUGUCGCAUGGCGGGUGCUGGAAAGUUUUUCGGUGAAGGAUGGGCUCGCGGCCUAUCAGUUUGUUGGUGAGGUAGUGGCUCACCAAGGCGAUGACGGGUAGCCGGCCUGAGAGGGCGACCGGCCACACUGGGACUGAGACACGGCCCAGACUCCUACGGGAGGCAGCAGUGGGGAAUAUUGCACAAUGGGCGAAAGCCUGAUGCAGCGACGCCGCGUGAGGGAUGACGGCCUUCGGGUUGUAAACCUCUUUCAGCAGGGAAGAAGCGAAAGUGACGGUACCUGCAGAAGAAGCGCCGGCUAACUACGUG